rnacentral:rRNA from 1 species
GACGAACGCUGGCGGCGUGCCUAAUACAUGCAAGUCGAACGCAGUGGGGACGGGUGAGUAACACGUGGGUAACCUCCCAUCAGAGGGGAUAACACUUGGAAACAGGUGCUAAACCGAUACUGAUGGAUGGACCCGCGGUGCAUUAGCUAGUUGGUGAGGUAACGGCUCACCAAGGCCACGAUGCAUCGCCGGACGGGUGGGGGGAUCUGCCACACGGGGACUGAGACACGGCCCAGACUCCUACGGGAGGCAGCAGUAGGGAAUCUUCGGCAAUGGACGAAAGUCUGACGGAGCAACGCCGCGUGAGUGAAGAAGGUUGUCGGAUCGUAAAACUCUGUUGUUAGAGAAGCGGUAUCUAACCAGAAAGCCACGGCUAACUACGUGCCAGCAGCCGCGGUAAUUC